UAUGGAAGGGUAUCCUUGCCGAGUGCUAAUAAUAGGAGGGGUUAUGUCUAUGGUGGGACAUAUAGAUUUUGAUUAACUCUGAUUUCGAUUUUGAUUAACUCUGAUUCGAGAGGCUAAGUAAUGGGUUACAAUGGGGGGUGAAUGGUCUGGAAUUUGAGUGGAAUUAUUUUUGCUGAAGGAACUAUUGAUAGGAGGUCUGUUUUGAUAUUGCUCGGAGUUAUUUCCCUCUCUUCCUUUUUCUUCUUCAUCAUCAUCCGUACUUAUUCCACUACCUUACCGGCCCUACGAUGUGUCGGCGGUGAAGAUUAAUCGAUGCCUUUCUUCUUCUUUUUCUUCUGUUGCGCUGCCAUUUGAUCUUUCUCCUCCUCCCAUCGACCACGACCUCCUCGAUACUAUGACAAUUGUUCGGGCAAAGGUAUCAGAAGAUGGGGUAAUGGGGAUAUUCGAUAAUGACGAGGAGGCAUUGGAUGCUGUUGAGAAUGGUGUUGCGGUGUGUAUCUAGCUUGAUUCAGGUUUUCUUGGUUGUGGAUCUUUCACACUAUGGCAGGAUAAGAGGUAAAUCCAUCCAUACAUUAUCAUUGUGAAAAUGAUUCUGUUAUAUUUUAUAAGACAACUCCAAGUUUAAUUUGUGAAUAAUCUAUUGACGUGGAG